rnacentral:rRNA from 1 species
UUACUGGGCUUAAAGAGUUCGUAGGUGGUUGAAAAAGUUGGUGGUGAAAUCCCAGAGCUUAACUCUGGAACUGCCAUCAAAACUUUUCAGCUAGAGUAUGAUAGAGGAAAGCAGAAUUUCUAGUGUAGAGGUGAAAUUCGUAGAUAUUAGAAAGAAUACCAAUUGCGAAGGCAGCUUUCUGGAUCAUUACUGACACUGAGGAACGAAAGCAUGGGUAGCGAAGAGGAUUAGAUACCCUCGUAGUCCAUGCCGUAAACGAUGUGUGUUAGACGUUGGAAAUUUAUUUUCAGUGUCGCAGCGAAAGCGAUAAACACACCGCCUGGGGAGUACGACCGCAAGGUUAAAACUCAAAUGAAUUGACGGGGACCCGCACAAGUAGUGGAGCAUGUGGUUUAAUUCGAAGAUACGCGCAGAACCUUACCAACACUUGACAUGUUCGUCGCGACUUUAAGAGAUUAAAGUUUUCGGUUCGGCCGGACGAAACACAGGUGCUGCAUGGCUGUCGUCAGCUCGUGUCGUGAGAUGUUGGGUUAAGUCCCGCAACGAGCGCAACCCUCACUUUUAGUUGCCAUCAUUUAGUUGGGCACUCUGAAAGAACUGCCAGUGAUAAGCUGGAGGAAGGUGGGGAUGACGUCAAGUCCUCAUGGCCCUUACGUGUUGGGCUACACACGUGCUACAAUGGUAUCUACAACAGGAAGCAAAACUGCGAAGUUAAGCAAAUCCUUAAAAGAUACCUCAGUUCGGAUUGCACUCUGCAACUCGAGUGCAUGAAGCUGGAAUUACUAGUAAUCGUGGAUCAGCGUGCCACGGUGAAUGCGUUCCCGGGUCUUGUACACACCGCCCGUCACACCAUGGGAGUUGGUUCUACCUUAAGGCAAGGUUUCAAACCCUUGACCACGGUAUAGUCAGCGACUGGGGUGAAGUCGUA